rnacentral:miRNA from 31 species
ACGUAUACUGAAUGUAUCCUGA